rnacentral:lncRNA from 1 species
ACAAGGCCCCAAGCCAUUAACCGUCGUGGUUUCGUCACGCAUCGCAGUUCUUCGAUGGUCGAUCUGUUCUGGUUGUCGUGCUAAACACAGUCUAGCCUUCUUAAAUGUAAGCUGGCCAACCUGCACAUCCUGAAGUUGUGGGGCUCUGAGGGGCUCUACAUUAGCGGUACAAUCCCAUUGAUGCAAAGUACCAGACCCAGAUCAGAAGCAGAGGAAAAGCCAUCUGGAAGAUAUAUCGGGCCAUUUUACUAAGCAUCUUAUUUUAGCGCUAUUUGAAACCAUCUGAGCCGUCGCAUCAUUUGAGCGGUCCCAUAGGGCAGGCCUACCUCAUCGGGUGGAACUCAUGCAAUAUAGUUUUGACCUUAGCAUGGUGCUUUUUUCGAUCACCAUAACAUAGCGGCAAUACUGCGCCAGCUUACCUGCCUGAUAACGGCUAACGUCACGCCGAUAACAAUUUUUCAUUGGUACUGUGAGCUGUGGGUUCAGUAAGCUUGGAUACUUGAGCUGUAGAUGCACUUCAUCAGCGCAUCUCAGCUUUUAACUGCGAUAACUGCAAAGCAAUAUUCUCCCAGCGUGUGGAAUCGAUAAGGCAGAGCCAUGCAUAACAGAAGACGCGAUGCAGUCCGUCUCUCCGCUUUUAGAUAACAACCUGCCCAACCCAACCUGCCCACCUAAAACCCCAUUCGUCGCUUCAGGGCUACGCAGCCGCGAAAGGGCGGGUUGCUGAGUCUCACUCACGUCCCGACGGCCAGUACACGGGUCAAAUCGUACACGGGUCAAUGCAGCGCUGCCCGGCUGGGUAGACGUGUCGGGCUGGAGUGAGCACAUCAGCGGGACUCAGCACUGCUGGCAGCUCCCAGGUCUGUUUAAAGUGCUCAGGCUAGGGAAAGGGCUGGAGAUGGGAAGGGUGUGUGGCAAGAUGGGGGAAGGGUGGGGGACGGUGGGGAUGAGGUAGCGUGGAAUGGCGGAACGUAUACGCGGGCCAGCAGGAAGUACGGGGGCUGUCUAGAUAGGGCUGGGGAGAGCGCACGCUUCGGCGCACAGUCGUUGGGUUGUUGGGGUUAGGACGGGCAGCGCACUGAGCUCUCCGUCUACACCUGACCCCCUGGGACUUUCUUUGCCUGCCGUAUUGGCAACAUAGCCCCUUCCCUCCCCCCCUUUAGACACACACACACACACAUAGACACACACAUACACACACAUACACACACAUACACACACAUACACACCGUCCCUCUCUAGCGCGGGUUGAUUGUAAGAGUAUGCUCGUUCUUUGUCCGUUCCCGUUUCCUAUCCGUUAUCUGUCCGUUGCUUGUCCGUUACUUAUCGGUUACCUUUCCGUUGCUUAGCAUUACCUAUCCGGUGUUUAGGCCGUGUGGGUCACUACCCGACGACGUGGCGGAGCUGGUCGCCUUCCCGGCGGACCAGCGGCUGUCGGGCUAUAUCACCGGACAGGACCUUCUGUGCGAGGGAGGGGUGUCCAAGAAGAUGUGCUACUAUCCCGAGGAAUGAGGGCCUACGGGGUGGCGGGUGCUAAGAUAAUACUGCUUAGAGCGACAAGCGGACCCGAGCAUGUCCUGUGAUAGGGCGGGGGAAUGGAGGCUGGAGGGACAUGGGGAUGUGUGGAUGUGUAGAUGGGCGGGAUGAAUGACGCAGGCCCGGGCCAUGGGCCAUGGGCGGAAGCUCCGGAACCACGGGACGGUGAGGAGGACCCUGUUUUGAGGCUGUGGAGGGGGCCUUUACUUGCAGCAGCUUUGUCGCAGCAGUAGCAGCGCCGCCUUCGAAGACUGCGGGACCCGCUGUAACCACGUGAGGAUGAAGGGUUACGUAGAUGGGUAACGUAGAUGCGAAGAUACUCAUAACGAUGAUGUAAUCCAGGAAAGAAGAACGUGUCCAGGGAUGAUGUUUGACCAGUCUGUGAUUGCUUAACUUCUGGCGUUUUACGACGUGAAGAUGUCCUGAAGAAUCAGUUAAAAUAAGGAAGUAGCCUUUAAGUAGCCUAAUCUGUCAAGGAUGUCUGUUGCUGGAG